rnacentral:rRNA from 1 species
AAUGAACGUUGGCGGCGUGGAUUAGGCAUGCAAGUCGUGCGAGAAGUUUUCCUGCUUGCAGGGAAAUGGACAGCGGCGAAAGGGAGAGUGACACGUGGCUUACCUACCCCCGGAUUCGGGAUAGCGGCGGGAAACUGCCGGUAAUACCGAAUAAUGUCUCCGGACCAAAGGUGUGAUUCCGUCUGGGGAUGGGGCCGCGUCCUAUUAGCUUGUUGGUGGGGUAACGGCCUACCAAGGCAAAGAUGGGUACCGGGUGUGAGAGCAUGGCCCGGCUCACUGGGACUGAGACACUGCCCAGACACCUACGGGUGGCUGCAGUCGAGAAUCUUCGGCAAUGGGCGAAAGCCUGACCGAGCGACGCCGCGUGCGGGAUGAAGGCCUUCGGGUUGUAAACCGCUGUCAGAGGGGAGGAAAUCUAUAGGGGUCAUCCCCUAUAGUUGACCUAUCUUCAGAGGAAGGACGGGCUAAGUUCGUG